UACGUAGGGGGCUAGCGUUGUCCGGAAUCAUUGGGCGUAAAGCGCGUGUAGGCGGUCCGGUAAGUCCGCUGUGAAAGUCGGGGGCUCAACCCUCGAAUGCCGGUGGAUACUGUCGGGCUAGAGUACGGAAGAGGCGAGUGGAAUUCCUGGUGUAGCGGUGAAAUGCGCAGAUAUCAGGAAGAACACCCGUGGCGAAGGCGGCUCUCUGGAACGCAACUGACGCUGAGACGCGAAAGCGUGGGGAGCAAACAGG
rnacentral:rRNA from 1 species